AUGCUGCCGGCUGGCGUCAAGUUUGAUCCCACGGAUCAGGAGCUGAUCGAGCACCUUGAGGCUAAAGUGAGUGCUGACAACGUGAGAUCUCACACUCUCAUCGAUUUGUUCGUACCAACCAUCGACAGCGAGCAUGGCAUAUGCUACACCCAUCCUGAGAAACUUCCAGGUAUCACACUGAGAGGACUAAGCAAGCUUUUCUUCCUGCACAAUUCCAGGGCGUUCAAAAGGGGCACGUGGAUGUGUCGCAAGAUACAAUCAGAGUGCGGCAUGCACGCGAUGUGGCACAAGACUGGCAAUACCUUGCCGGUGAUGGUCAACGGCUGGCAGACGGGCAUCAAAAGGGUUCUGGUGCUGCACACCAAUAAGAAGUUUGACCAGCAGAGGACCAACUGGGUGAUGCACCAGUACCACCUCGGAGACCUGGAGCAAGAGAAGGAGCGGGAGCUGGUCUUCUGCAAGAUUUUCUACCAGACGAACACUAGGGCCAGGAGUAAAAAGAUUAUAAGUUAG
rnacentral:rRNA from 1 species